rnacentral:rRNA from 1 species
UACGUAGGGUGCAAGCGUUAAUCGGAAUUACUGGGCGUAAAGCGUGCGCAGGCGGUUUUUUAAGUCAGAUGUGAAAUCCCCGGGCUCAACCUGGGAACUGCGUUUGAAACUACAAGGCUAGAGUGUAGCAGAGGGGGGUGGAAUUCCACGUGUAGCAGUGAAAUGCGUAGAGAUGUGGAGGAACACCGAUGGCGAAGGCAGCCCCCUGGGUUAACACUGACGCUCAGGCACGAAAGCGUGGGGAGCAAACAGG